UCGCUAUUGAACAACUUUACAUUCUGAA
rnacentral:piRNA from 1 species